rnacentral:rRNA from 1 species
GAUGAACGCUGGCGGCGUGCUUAACACAUGCAAGUCGAACGGUGAAGCCAAGCUUGCUUGGUGGAUCAGUGGCGAACGGGUGAGUAACACGUGAGCAACCUGCCCUGGACUCUGGGAUAAGCGCUGGAAACGGCGUCUAAUACUGGAUAUGAGGCGUGAUCGCAUGGUCGUGUUUGGAAAGAUUUUUCGGUCUGGGAUGGGCUCGCGGCCUAUCAGCUUGUUGGUGAGGUAAUGGCUCACCAAGCCGUCGACGGGUAGCCGGCCUGAGAGGGGGACCGGCCACACUGGGACUGAGACACGGCCCAGACUCCUACGGGAGGCAGCAGUGGGGAAUAUUGCGCAAUGGGCGAAAGCCUGAUGCAGCGACGCCGCGUGAGGGAUGACGGCCUUCGGGUUGUAAACCUCUUUCAGUAGGGAAGAAGCGAAAGUGACGGUACCUGCAGAAGAAGCACCGGCUAACUACGUGCCAGCAGCCGCCGUAACAC